rnacentral:rRNA from 1 species
UACGUAGGUGACCAGCGUUGUCCGGAUUUACUGGGCGUAAAGAGCGCGCAGGCGGUCGUUCAAGUCGAGUGUGAAAGCCCCCGGCUCAACUGGGGAGGGUCAUUCGAUACUGAUCGACUGGAAGGCAGGAGAGGGAAGCGGAAUUCCCGGUGUAGUGGUGAAAUGCGUAGAUAUCGGGAGGAACACCAGUGGCGAAGGCGGCUUCCUGGCCUGUUCUUGACGCUGAGGCGCGAAAGCUAGGGGAGCAAAACGGG